AGUCAAUAGAUACCCGGGUAGUCCAUGCCGUAAACGAUGAUUGCUAGGUGUGGGGGGUCUGACCCCUUCCGUGCCGGAGUUAAACACAAAUAAGCAAUCCACCUGGGGAGUACGGCCGCAAGGUUGAAACUCAAAGGAAUUGACGGGGGCCCGCACAAGCAGUGGAGUAUGUGGUUUAAUUCGAAGCAACGCGAAGAACCUUACCAGGUCUUGACAUCCACCGAAUCCUGUAGAGAUACGGGAGUGCCCUUCGGGGAACGGUGAGACAGGUGGUGCAUGGUUGUCGUCAGCUCGUGUCGUGAGAUGUUGGGUUAAGUCCCGCAACGAGCGCAACCCUUGUGAAUAGUUGCUACGAAAGAGCACUCUAUUCAGACCGCCGUUGACAAAACGGAGGAAGGUGGGGAUGACGUCAAAUCAUCAUGCCCCUUAUGACCUGGGCUACACACGUACUACCAAUGGCCGUUAACAGAGGAUGCAAUGCCGCGAGGUGGAGCGAACCCCGUAAAAACCGGU
rnacentral:rRNA from 1 species